GGGGGCGAAUUGGUGUCGACUAGGUUCGGAAGAUAAUACGUGCAAGGCAGUGGGAAGCGAUGGUCACUGUAAAAACGCUUAAAAACACAAAUGCCAACGAUGAUGUUGAGCUUCAGGAUUUUGCCCUAGCGGCAUAAUUUUGCGGGGGUGGCGACUUCCCUUGUUAUCAAAAAGUCGCAUUUUAAAGAUUCUAAAUUAGUUGCUGGUCUAUUCAAAAACCGGCUAACCUUGUGAACGACGCGUUGUUUGAAGAGUUUAGGACGGGGGUUCGAAUCCCCCCGCCUCCAUAU
rnacentral:tmRNA from 1 species